rnacentral:lncRNA from 1 species
GCUUCCUGGUUGACUGCCUUCACAGCUCAGUCAGGUGGUGACGGCUCGCUCUGAUGGCUCCACCCACCUUUGCUGUGCUUGCUCCUAACCCCAGAAGGGCGAGACUUGGCCUGACUUCCCUCUGCUGGGCCCCAGGAAACACCCAGAGCAGAAAGAAGCUGCUUGCUGUCUCUAAAGCUCCUGCCCCUACUGGUUACCUGCCUCCCUUCUGCCUCCUCGCACUGCCACGCUAUGUCCUUACCUCACCAAAGCACGGUUGUGACUUGGAGUCCGGGUGGUGAGCUGUUCUCACCUCUGGUCACAGAUGUCAGAGUGCUCGCACUGGCUUCAGGUCCCCACUCUGAUGCCUGAGGCUGUACAUAGAGCAGGCAGCAUCUGGUGGAAAAUAAUUAGUUACAAAGGUGGGACGUGGUCUUGUAGGACUAUAAUCCAGUACUUGGGAGACAGAGGCAGGUGAUCUCUGUGAGUUCAAAGCCAUCCCAAUCUGCAUGGUGAACCCCAGGACUGCCAGAGCUGUAUACUAGAGAGACAAUGUCUCAAAAAACAAUCAGCUGGGGAGUGUUGCACGCCUCUAAUCCCAGCACUUGGGAGGCAGAAGAGGGCGCUUUCUGUGAAUUCAAGGUCAGUCUGGUCUACAAAGUGAAGGCAGGACAGUCGGGGUUCUGCUAUGCAAAGAAACCCUGUCUUU